rnacentral:lncRNA from 1 species
GAUGUUUUAGGUUUAAAAAUGACUUUACUUGAAAAAAAGUGAAACUUUCUGAAGGAUGAGGCAAACUGAGUAAAAGAGAAACCUAUCAUGUCCCAUGGUGAGAGGAAUUAAAACUGUAGAGAUUUAAUUCUCCGCAAAAUAAUGCAUUAAUUUGCUGCAGUCACAAACAAAGAUAAAGUGGGUCUUUUUAGUGGACCUUGAUCUACCGGGUCUUAAAGUCUUUUGCAGAAGUGUUACCAGAGAAGGCAAGAAAAAUCUGUAAGAGGUAUUUUUAACUGAGUCUUUAUUAUAUGAUAAAGGAAUAUGCUAUUUCUUUUCAGAAUAUCACCUACCCCUGUGUUUUGAGUGGAAAUUAAAGAGACACAUGUUGCCAUUUCUCUUUCGAGUCCUUUUAAAAAUGAACGUUUUUCCCCUUUAAGUGAAUUUCAGUUAACUUGGCUAUUCUCCUCCCUCUAAUUGAGGGAAAGGCCCCCUGCUUUCCCCAUCACAGGGAGGGGGCGGAGCAUCCUCUGAGAAGCUUGGGAGUGAGCUGUGCCAGGCCAGUCUUGGGGGAGGAGCUGCAUUUCACGAGGCUGCAGCUGACAAGAAGCUUCAAGCUUAGGUCAAUAUCAGAGAUACACACGACCUGGGGGAUCUGCAUGUGAUGCCAGUCGAGCCCCAGAAAGGCAGCGUGACCACAAAAGUGCCGAGCAGGGAGAAGGCUCUGCUGGACAAGCAGUUGGAGUGAGAAUAAAACCAACCACAUCACAGGGCCAGACUCCACAAUCCACGUGACGCUGGGGCGGGGGCGGAGCAUCCUCUGAGAAGCUUGGGAGUGAGCUGUGCCAGGCCAGUCUUGGGGGAGGAGCUGCAUUUCACCAGGCUGCAGCUGACAAGAAGCUUCAAGGCAGCCUGUCUCCUUCUGGAGUGAGAAUCAAGACAACCCGAUCACAGGGCCAGACUCUACAUCAGGUAAGGCUCUUCCCAUUUCACAAAAUAUUUCAAAUUAAAAACAUAU